rnacentral:lncRNA from 1 species
NNNNNNNNNNNNNNNNNNNNNNNNNNNNNNNNGCCUCUGGCAUCCCGGAGCCCGGCCUGCAUCCCAGAGCCUGGAUCCUGCAUCCUGCAUCCCAUCCUGCAUCCCAGAGCCUGAAUCCUGCAUCCUGCAUCCCAGCCUGCAUCCCAGCCUGCAUCCCAGCCUGCAUCCCAGAGCCUGGAUCCUGCAUCCUGGAGCCUGAAUCCUGCAUCCCAGCCUGAAUCCUGCAUCCUGCAUCCUAUCCUGCAUCCCACAGCCCUGCCUGCAUCCCAUCCUGCAUCCCAGAGGCUGAAUCCUGCAUCCCAGUCUGAAUCCUGCAUCCUGCAUCCCAUCCUGCAUCCUGCAUCCUGCAUCCUAUCCUGCAUCCCAUUCUGCAUCCCAGAGCCUGAAUCCUGCAUCCUAUCCUGCAUCCCAUCCUGCAUCCCAAAGCCCAGCCUGGAUCCUGCAUCCCACAGCCCUGCCUGCAUCCUAUGCCCUGACCUGCAUCCCACUCCAUACCUCAGCCUGCAUCCCAUCCCACAUCCCACCCUGUGUCCCCUAACCCAGCCUGCAUCCUCCAUCCCACCCUCCAUCCUCUAUCCCAUUCUCCAUCCCAUCCUCCAUCCCAUCCUCCAUCCCAUUCUCCAUCCCAUCCUCCAUCCCAUUCUCCAUCCCAUCCUCCCUGCUGCCUCCAGCCCACGUCCCCCUGCACAUCCCACAUCCCUGCUCCAUCUGCACAUCCCCUGCACCCUCCCUCCUCCUCCUCCUCCCAUGCUCCCCCCGUCCCCAGCACUGCCAGGGCCCAUCCCAGCCCCUCCGGGGGGCUCAGGGGCUGGGGGUCACCCCACAAACCCCCACCUGCCCCCAGGACAGAGGACACUUCCAAAACAGAGAGCAGGAUGGAGAGGGUGGGGAGGAGGAGGAGGAGGGUGAAGGCUCACGUGCUCUCACCCACACCUUGGCACAGGAAGCCACUUGUCACCUUGUCACCCUCUGGGCACAGCAGGAGUGGCAGGAGGAGAUUUGUCUCCUGUCCCCUCUGGUGUUCCCAUCCUGGGUGUUCCUGGGAGGUGGGGGGCUCCAGGGGGGCAGGGGGGCA